AGAGUUUGAUCCUGGCUCAGAUUGAACGCUGGCGGCAUGCUUUAGACAUGCAAGUCGAACGCGAAAGUUCCUUCGGGAAUGAGUAGAGUGGCGGACGGGUGAGUAACACGUAGGAAUCUGCCCUAAAGAGGGGGACAACUCCGCGAAAGCGGAGCUAAUACCGCAUAAUCUCUUCGGAGCAAAGCAGGGGACCUUCGGGCCUUGCACUUUAGGAUGAGCCUGCGUCAGAUUAGCUUGUUGGUGGGGUAAAGGCCUACCAAAGCAACGAUCUGUAGCUGGUCUGAGAGGACGAUCAGCCACAUUGGGACUGAGACACGGCCCAAACUCCUACGGGAGGCAGCAGUCGGGAAUAUUGGACAAUGGGCGCAAGCCUGAUCCAGCAAUGCCGCGUGUGUGAAGAAGGCCUACGGGUUGUAAAGCACUUUCAGUAGGGAGAAAAAACUCAAGGUUAAUACCUUUGAGCAUUGAUGUUACCUACAGAAGAAGCACCGGCUAACUCUGUGCCAGCAGCCGCGGUAAUACAGAGGGUGCAAGCGUUAAUCGGAGUUACUGGGCGUAAAGCGUGCGUAGGCGGAUAUUCAAGUCGGGUGUGAAAGCCCCGGGCUUAACCUGGGAACUGCAUUCGAUACUGGAUGUCUAGAGUAUGAUAGAGGAAAGUGGAAUUUCCGGUGUAGCGGUGAAAUGCGUAGAUAUCGGAAAGAACACCAGUGGCGAAGGCGACUUUCUGGAUCAAUACUGACGCUGAGGUACGAAAGCGUGGGGAGCAAACAGGAUUAGAGACCCUGGUAGUCCACGCCGUAAACGAUGAGAACUAGGCGUUAAUUUCGCCAUUGGCGGAACUAGUGCCAAAGCUAACGCGUUAAGUUCUCCGCCUGGGGAGUACGAUCGCAAGAUUAAAACUCAAGGAUUGACGG
rnacentral:rRNA from 1 species